rnacentral:rRNA from 1 species
GGCGUCUUCGGCGUCCGCAUUGUAAUCUCAAGAAGUGUUUUCCGCUUCGGACCAUGCCUAAGUCCCUUGGAAAAGGGCAUCAUAGAGGGUGAUAAUCCCGUACAUGGCAUGGAGCGCCCGAGGCUUUGUGAUACGCUUUCUAAGAGUCGAGUUGUUUGGGAAUGCAGCUCAAAAUGGGUGGUAAAUGCCAUCUAAGGCUAAAUAUUGGGGAGAGACCGAUAGCGAACAAGUACAGUGAUGGAAAGAUGAAAAGAACUUUGAAAAGAGAGUUAAACAGUACGUGAAAUUGCCAAAAGGGAAGGGUAGGAGGUCAGAGAUGCGUCUUGGGAUUCAGCCUUGCUUUUGCUUGGUGUUUUUCCCAAGUUGCAGGCCAACGUCGGUUUUGGGCACUGGAGAAGGGUGGAAGGAACGUGGCACCUCUCGGGGUGUGUUAUAGCCUUCUACUGGAUACAGCGACCGAGACCGAGGACAGCAGCGUACUCGCAAGAGCGGGCCUUCGGGCACCUUUACGCUUAGGGCGUUGGCAUAAUGGCCCUCUACCAC